GACGAACGCUGGCGGCGUGCUUUACACAUGCAAGUCGAACGAAGUGGCGAACGGGUGAGUAACGCGUAAUCAACCUGCCCUUCAGAGGGGGACAACAGUUGGAAACGACUGCUCAUACCGCAUACUGAAGGAGGGGAUUGCGUCGGAUUAGCUAGUUGGAGGGGUAACGGCCCACCAAGGCGAUGAUCAGUAGCCGGUCUUGUAGGAUGAACGGCCACAUUUGGACUGAGACACGGGCCAGACUCCUACGGGAGGCAGCAGUGGGGAAUCUUCCGCAAUGGACGAAAGUCUGACGGAGCCACGGCGCGUGAGUUAUGACGGCCUUCGGGUUGUAAAGCUCUGUUAAUCGGGACGCGGUACCGGAAUAGAAAGCCACGGCUAACUACGUGCCAGCAGCCGCGGUAAUAC
rnacentral:rRNA from 1 species